rnacentral:rRNA from 1 species
UACGAAGGGGGCUAGCGUUGCUCGGAAUCACUGGGCGUAAAGCGCACGUAGGCGGCUUUUUAAGUCGGUGGUGAAAUCCUGGAGCUCAACUCCAGAACUGCCUCCGAUACUGAAAGGCUCGAGUCCGGGAGAGGGAUGUGGAAUUCCAGGUGUAGCGGUGAAAUGCGUAGAUAUCUGGAGGAACACCGGUGGCGAAGGCGACAUCCUGGACCGGUAUUGACGCUGAGGCGCGAAAGCCAGGGGAGCAAACGGG